AUUCAACUGACGAGUCCUAGAUAGAACGAAACGCGCGUCAAACUAGAU
rfam:Schistosoma curassoni strain Dakar, Senegal genome assembly, scaffold: SCTD_scaffold0019966